GCCUGGGUGGCACAGUGGUUGAGCGUCUGCCUUCGGCUCAGGGCGUGAUCCCGGCAUUGUGGGAUCGAGCCCCACAUCAGGCU
rfam:Ailuropoda melanoleuca scaffold830_5, whole genome shotgun sequence.